ACGCUCGACACCUACGGGAAGCAGCAGUCGGGAAUAUUGCGCAAUGGAGGAAACUCUGACGCAGUGACGCCGCGUGCAGGAAGAAGGUUUUCGGAUUGUAAACUGCUUUAGACAGGGAAGAAAGAAAUGACAGUACCUGUAGAAUAAGCUCCGGCUAACUACGUGCCAGCAGCCGCGGUAAUCUGAGCGGGCUGGCAAGGC
rnacentral:rRNA from 1 species